CCGAUGUAAAACCCCGGCCUGCAUCCUCGUCCGUCAUGAACUCCUCAGCGCCGCACCGAGGCGUCCACGCCGCCACAUCCUUGAGAUCAUCCACCCGGAAACCCGGUGACGAAGGUCACGAAGACGUCAUGCCCGAAGGUCUCACCAAAAUCUUGGCUUCGUCCGGCAAUUUGGUUAACCUCUACGGGAGAGCUGACAACUUGGCGUGCGCUCGUAAGUUGUUUGAUCAAAUGCCGGAGAAGAUCGUGGUUCCUCGGACUUGCUUCAUUGCUGGAUACGCUUGGAACUGGUCCCCUGACGGAUCUGUCGACUGUUUUGCUUGAUGAUCUGGGUCUCGAUUUUAGCGUGCUUCCUUCAUUUUUGGCAGCGUCGUCUUCAAGCAUGUCUUGGAAAACAAAUACAUAGGCUAAACUCAAACACCUGGCAUUCUGCAAUCAUUUUGGUGUCUUCAUGCACUGAAUUCGAUGUACAAUGAUUUCUGUUUGGAUUUCACAUGGGAUGCCCGGUGAGUGUUUCGUCAUACACCAGCAAAGAAUUCCGUCAAGUGGAUCUUAAACAUCUCAGCGAACUCACUGAGAAGGGAUGCCAUCUCUGCCUUUGAGCUGUUCUCAGGAAUUUAAACUGGGAGUUCAGUACGCUGUUUGAGACAGAGUGAGUUCAUGUGCAAUUUGUUGACUGCAGCUAUUUCUUGCUCUUACAGUGAAUUUAUACUUGAGCAAAUUCUUUUAGAUGUCUUUGAGUCUAGUUUCUUGAAAGAUCUCCAUGUGGAUAGAACACUAGUUAGCGCAUGUGCUCGAUUCAAUUUUUCCACAGAGAUAUCGAGUCAUUUCAGCAAAUGUGCAAGAAGAGCACUGUUUUAUUGAAUGCAUUUGGAGAAGUAUAGUAGUGAUUUAGAUGUGGUAUUGCUGAUUGCACUUCUGGGUUCUUGAGUCGGAAAAUAAGUGAAUGGAGAUUGAUGGUCAUGUUACCAAACUGGUCCAACAGUCUCAAGGGUUGGAAUUGGGAAUGGGCUAGUUGACAUGAAAGCCAAGUUGGUGCAGUUGACAAUGCUGCUAAGGUUCUAAGGUUUUUAGUACUAGUGUGAAAGAUAGGGCACUAUGGAAUACCAUCAUUUCUGGUGUUGAUCAUAAUGGCCUCUCUGGAGAGUCCGCCAUGAAAGAUAAGUAUAGGGGAUGUGCAGGUCCACAGUAUUGGAACCAGAUUUGGACUUGAUAUGGAUAUUUAUGUACUGAAUUCAAAUGUAUGAAGAAUGUCCAAGUGGCAUAGACUCCUCAACCAUAUGACCAAGUAUGCUUAGAUCUCAUAAAGCAUUAUGAUUAGAGCAUUGGUGGGCAGCGAGGGAUUCCUUGUUGUUAGUAAGUUAUCCAAAAAAAAAAAGACCAUCAUCAAUGUUUUGCUGCCCUUUCUACACUAUCAGAUGUUUAGAUGAGCCAGCAAGUUUAUAAAAUAUGGUAUGUGUGGUGAUAUUGUUGCGUCAAAUGCCCUCUUAUCGAGCUAUGCAAAGUGUGGAGAGAUUAUUUGUUGUGAGUGUAUUCCUUAAAAUGGCAUUAUGAGGAAUGAUGUGACAUGGAAUUCAAUGAUGCUUGGAUAUAAUUAAAAUAUAUUAUUUUUCAGAAGCCAUGGACUUUGUCAAGUUCAUGAUACUCUAUGGACAAAAGAUGGCCCAUUUCACUUUUGCCUCUGUCUUUUAGUAUUCAUGGCUGGAUAUAUACACUUUUGUAAUAAGGUCUCAUUUGGAAACUGACAUAUUCAUGGCGAGUGGCUGAUUGAGAUAUAUGCUAAGUCUUGAAGAAUUGAUCAUGUUUCACGUUUUUAUGAGUCCACAAAUUUGAGAAACAAAUUCUCAUGGAAUUCCAAGAUUUCAGGUCAUGCCAGACGUGAUAUUGCAGAUGUGGCUUUAAAAUGAAAAGUUGGUCAAAAUCCAAACAUGCGGGAGACGCUUAAUCUUGACAGUGACUUAACCUAUUAUGGUUUUUUGAUGUUCUCACUCUCUUUCCAGCAACCUUGCAGCUGCUCAGUUCCUCACCGUUUCACAUUUUUGGUUCUAUUGCACUCCCUCAGAAGCAGGUGUUAAGUUCCUGAGGUUAAAUUGGUGACUCUGGCCAAGCUUUAGAAUCUUGAAGAUAGGGGUUUCAAGACUCUCUCUCUCUCUUCUGUACAUGCCCUUUUAUGCUUGUAAAACUUGAGGAAGACAAUUUCAUCAGUUUAUUCUUUUAGAACAUUUAUACACAUUGGUUUACUGCUUGUGGGCACUAAGAUUGCCAAACAACAUUUAACCUUGA